GGGUCAGUAGGUUGGUCGUGCCACCGGUACGUACUGGUCUCACUGAUUCCUCCUUCCUGAAGAACCGUAAUGCCAUUAAUUUGGGGUUGCGGGGAAACAGGACUGUUACUUUGAAAAAAUUAGAGUGUUUAAAGCAAGCUAACGCUUGAAUACAUUAGCAUGGAAUAAUGAAAUAGGACGAUCGAUCCUAUUUUGUUGGUUUCUAGGAUUGACGUA
rnacentral:rRNA from 1 species